rnacentral:rRNA from 1 species
UACGAAGGGGGCUAGCGUUGUUCGGAAUUACUGGGCGUAAAGCGCACGUAGGCGGGUCGUUAAGUCAGGGGUGAAAUCCCGGAGCUCAACUCCGGAACUGCCUUUGAUACUGGCGAUCUUGAGAUCGGAAGAGGAUGGUGGAAUUCCCAGUGUAGAGGUGAAAUUCGUAGAUAUUGGGAAGAACACCGAUGGCGAAGGCAGCCAUCUGGACCGACACUGACGCUGAGGCGCGAAAGCGUGGGGAGCAAACAGG